GUUGAAGAACGUAGCGAAAUGCGAUAAGUAAUGCGAAUUGCAGAAUUCAGUGAGUCAUCGAAUCUUUGAACGCACAUUGCGCCCCUUGGUAUUCCAUGGGGCAUGCCUGUUCGAGCGUCAUUUGUACCUUCAAGCUUUGCUUGGUGUUGGGUGUUUGUCUCGCCUUUGCGUGUAGACUCGCCUUAAAAUAAUUGGCAGCCGGCGUAUUGAUUUCGGAGCGCAGUACAUCUCGCGCUUUGCACUCAUAACGACAGCGUCCAAAAGUACAUUUUACACUCUUGACCUCGGAUCAGGUAGGGAUACCCGCUGAACUUAAGCAUAUCAAUAAGCGGAGGA
rnacentral:misc_RNA from 1 species